GUUAUCCACAUGUGUUCCCCGCAUGUGCUGUCACUCGUGCUCAGGCACUACAAGAGGGUGACGUGAUUUGUCGAACACUGUUCUGUUCAAAGAGGUUGAUCAAGAAGAUGGAUUGUGUGAUACCUCUGAGAAGCUGAUCACCUCUGACAAACAGCCCAGGAAAGAAUCAAAGAACGCUACUGUUACCUAUCUCGGUAAAGAGGUUGGCCAUGGACAGGUGCGCCCUGUUGAUGCCAAGGUCUUGGCUAUAACUGCAUUCCCUGCACCUACCACCAGACGAGAGCUACACCGCUUUUUAGGGAUGGUUGGCUACUACCGUAGCUUCUGUAAAAAUUUCUCUGCGGUAGUUGCUCCAUUGACCGAUUUGCUUAGUCCGGCUAGAUCAUUUGUGUGGUCCCCUGAUUGUAAGAGCUUUUGAAUCAGCGAAAGCACUCUUAUAUAGUACACCUGUACUUGCUGCUCCAGAUUUUGAACAACCGUUCAAACUUGAGGUAGAUGCUAGUGCCAGAGGUGCUGGUGCUGUUCUACUGCAGCAGGACAAGAGUGGAGUGGAUCAUCCCGUUUGUUAUUUUUCCCGUAAAUGUAAUAAAUGUCAAACAAACUAUGCGACAAUAGAACAAGAAGCUCUUGCUUUGUUGGCUCUGCAAUACUUUGAAGUAUAUAUUGGUUCCAGUGCCCUACCCGUGAUUGUAUAUACUGACCAUAACCCCUUAGUUUUUCUCCACCGAAUGUACAACCAGAACCAGCGCCUUAUGCGUUGGGCGCUGAUUGUACAAAAUUAUAAUUUGGAGAUCCGCCACAUAAAGGGUUCUGAUAAUGUGUUGGCAGAUGCUUUGUCUCGUGUGUGAAAAUGAUUGUUGUAUGUUUUGCAAGGUUGUUGCUUUGUUGUGAGUAUUCAUUAAUACUGUGGUCGCAAUCCCCCCCUAGGGUUGCUCUUUUAAGGGUGGGAGUGUUACGGAUACAAGUAUCCUGUGUGUGUAUCCUGUGUUUCUUUUCUCUCCUUCUCCCCUCACAGGUGAACAUCAUCACUCCCCAAUCAGUCAACAAUCAAUCAGAAGACACACCUCCUCCUUUUUCCUACCCUAUCACAGUUCCUUUCCCUUGGUUUAAAAACCCCAUCAGUUGUUUGCUCUAGAGCUCAAUCUCUCUGUAAAUGCCAUGUAUGUAGAUCUCUGUUUCACUCUCUCUGUGUCUUAACCUCUCUUUUGUUUGAGCACCUCCAAAUCACUUUGUCAUCUCCUGUGAGUAUUGUUUUUGGUUAUGGUGUUUGUUUGAUUGCUGGUGGGAAAAGGGGAAACCAAGACAAAUCGCCCAUGGGCAUACACUACCCGUAGGUAGACUUUGUUAAAAACACUAGUUAGAACUGGGCGGACCACCCACUGUAUUUUUGGUUAGUUAGUUAGCUGUUAAAUUAGGCUAGUCUAGCUUAGGGGUGUUUUGGAUGCUUAUUGUUUCUUUCCUUGGGUCCAACUCAG
ensembl:lncRNA